ACCAUUCACACCUAUGGGCAAUUUAGAGUUUCCAAUUAACCUAAUCCCACUAACUGCAUGACUUUGGGAGGAAGCCAGAGUACCUGGAGAGAACCCACGCAAACACAGGGAGAACGUGUAAACUCCACUCAGAAAGAUUGUGGAAUUGAUCUCCAGACCUGCUUGCUGUGAGGAUGCAGGAUCUGAGGAGAAACAAAGGCAUGGGGAGGAAGAGGAGGAGAAGGCGAAGAUGAAGAUGAAAGAGAGGGAGGAGAAGUGAAGUGUACACGGUCGGGUCAAAUGCCGCAUUUUCGGUCCAUGAACUUGACUGUGGAGGGCAACUUGGGUCUCAGUGGGUCAUCUACCAAUCAAGAGGCUGGUAUCUCACUUCCCAACCCCUUCAACCUGCAUGUCAAAGUAUCCUUAGCUAAAAUACUGAACCCUGAGUUCCUGAAACUGAUGCAUCCAUUGAUUGUGAGUGUGUAAAUGUUACUCAAGGUGUUCAGAUACAGAGAAAAGCACUGGUGAAUGAAGUGAAUGAAGCAAUCGGAGUAGAAAAGUGCUAUGUAAGAUCAUUUACUCCAGGUGCAUGAAUAAUUGAGCAAUCAAGUUUGACAAGAAGAUACAUUUUAGGCCCCAAAGGAUCUUAUCUAUAUUAACUGCAUCAUUUUUUAUCAGCCACCACUCAGCAGCUGGCUAAAAGGACAUAUUUUUAGCAUUUAUCCUUUUCUAUAAGUACUUUUACUUAAGUACUUUUUAAAGCACUUAUAAAGCCUUACAAAUGCAUCCUAACAUUUUAAUUUGACCAUAUUAACAUCCCAUUUUUAUCCACAAAAGUUCAUGAUCCAUGAUAAUAUAAUGAUGAUGUCACGUUGCCUAGCCAUCAGCUUCCUGGUGCUGGUAUCUCCUUUAUUUUCUAAUAAAUGCCAAAAAUAAAUGUAUGCUUGUUAUACUUCAAUAAGAAUAACAGUGCCAGCAAGUGUUAUGUUGUUUGGGUAUAGGCAGUGUUUGUAUAUUCCUGGUUACAGCGUUGCUGAGGAAGCAAAAUUUUGUACCAGGUUGCCAAAACUCUGACAUUGUAAGCUGCAGCCAGUGAAAACACACGCACACAUGUAUACAUAUGCACACACACACAUACCAACACACAGACAUACACACACAGCAGGGUUGGUAAGUCUAAGUUAAAUAGUCUAAUGUGGAAUCCUCUCUCCCGCUCCCUCUUACACAAACACACACAAAUGGUUGGAGGCAAACAUUACUUCAUCCUAAGUAUUUUUAAAUCAGGUGAUGACAGAAAGAGAGCGGGCCAAAGACACACAUUCAGCCACUGUGGUUUUGGGUUGAGAAGUGGUGUGUGUGUGUGAGGUUAACAAGCUCUUACAGCCUUGUUAUCACACUGAUGAAAGACAGAGUAAGAGAGCGAAAGAGAGAAUAAAAAAUGUCCCAGAAAGAAAGCAAAAUGGGUGUGAUCAUUUGCUUUUCUUUUCAAAAGGCUCCUACAUAAACCUCCCCGCUUUGUUAGUGGGAAGUGCCUUUGUUAGUGUGUCUUUUUAUGUGUGUGUAUAUUAGUAAUCAUAGUUUAAACAGAACCAGACCAGACUCUCUAUAUCUUCAACUGUCCACCCUUUAUCUCUCUUUAUUGUGUGUGUGUGUGUGUGUGUGUGUGUGUGUGUGUGUGUGUGUGUGUGUGUGUUUGCAUGUGUUAGGAAAAUUCUGCAGAAGCUUGACAGGAAUAACUUCCAAACACAAAACAACUCCAAGAUAUAGUUGCAUUGCCUCAUUUUGGGCAAUUUUGUGUUAUGUAGAUAGGUUGAAACAUUGCGGGGGGACUGCAUGUCCUUAAAUAUGGCCAUCUAAUUGCAAUUAAAGCAGGCAAGCAUUCAAGUUUUUCUUGAAUACUUCACUUUUGAUCUAUUAUAACCAUACAACCAUUUUUACCUAAAGCACUUUAUGUAGCAAAGCAUGGCAGCUGACUUCUUGCUUUAGGACAAUUUUUCCCUUGCUGUGAAAGUAAACAAUGGUUCACUUUCUACACUCAGAAUGUAAAACACUGAAUAUGAUGUGUUCUUUAUUACAAAUAAUGUAUCACAUGGUGUAUAUAUGGAAAAGGAUUCAGUUUUAGUGCAGAAGACGAAAAAUGAAAGUGAAAUGCUGCACAGUAACUUUAGCACCAUGUUGAUAUUUGGCAGGCAGGAAGAAUGUAUAUAGAAAAAACAGGCACUAUCAUUAGCUAUUGAAAUUUCAUACCAAAAACUUUGGUAAUUAAAGAACUGCUCUUUGUAGAUCUUCUACUAAGCCUGUAAGUCUGAAUAACACUAUUCAUAUUUAUACUUCCCACUUUUGUUGUAAAUUAAUGCUCAACUUUUGUAUAAGUCAACUUUAAUAAAUGAUCUGUAACCCUUUCCACACUGUAAACUGUCAAAGGUGGCAGAACUCAAAACAUUAAGGAAAUAAAUUACAUUUUAUAUAUGUUACUGCAGUUCAAACAUUAAGGUUGAUAUGUAAUAAAAUACAUAAAAUACAAUAAAAUAUAAAAUAUUAUUGUUAAAUUAAAGUUUUUAUUAAGUCAUAAAUGAUCAUUUUUAAGGAGAAUUUUUGAAGUAAUACAACUGUAACUUAAAUAUUGCAGUGUUUAAAUCCAGUCACCAUUUAUUGUACUUGACUUGCAUAAAACUUUACUCGUUACCCUCACUAGGUGACACAAGACAGCUUAAAAUUUAGUUUGUAGGUUAUCCUGUUUUUAAUGAAGAACAGAUCACUCUGCACACAACUAUCUGUCUCACCCUAGUAACAGUUAAUAACCUUAUCAUCUUCAUUCUUGCUUAUCCAGCUUUGCUAUUCUGACAUCAAGGUAAAUGGAAUGCAGCCCCUCAAACUGUACUAUGAAUGUAAAUAAACACACAACAAGUUGGAGAAACAAAGCAACAUAAUUUGCAGCUCUCUUUCACAAAAAAUUUAAACAGAACGCUAUACCUCUUUAUAUAAUUUUGAUUGAAAAUCUUGCUCUGUGCUAUCAUAAUAUCUGCCAACAUGUAUUUAUUUAUUUAUUUUCAAAACUGACAUAACUGCAAGCAAUAACCAACAUAAUGGGGUCAUCAGUGGAUGUAAACCAGGCAAUAGAAUCAGUAGGGUUGUCAGUAUUAUCAUUGGUAUCCUUCGCAGUAAUAAUAACAGAAGUAGUUCCAAUAGUAUACAGUCCAAGCAGUACUCAGCAGGACUUAACAAACAGAGAGGAAGAAAGAAAGCUGCCUUUACAGCAGUUCGUCAAUGGGUGGCAGUGCAGUGUGCAAGGUUUUUGAACCUAUAGUGUGUAUGUGUGUGUGUGUGUGUGUGUGUGUGUGGUAUUUUCUCAUCUGCAAUGUGGUAUGGUGUUUGGCAAGAGUCCAAAGAGGUACUGACAGAUCUGCUCAGGAAAACCUCCCCUGUUCAGAAGACUGCUCAUGCUCACACACACACACACACACACACACACACACGCACACACACACACACACCCCCACCUCCUCCCUCUCCUCACACUCUGGGUGACCCUGACAUCAGCCCUGCACUCUCUCCAUCACUGUGUUGCCUUGGCAACGGGCCCCAGGGUAAGGCUGUGAAUGUUGUUCAUGAUGUUUGUUUAUUUCUUUCUUUUUUGCUUGCUUGAUUGUGUGACCAGCAUGCUAAAAUAAUAUCUAAUAAUAAUAAUAUAUUUCUAUGUGUGAGCAUACAAACUAAAUCAGUUUUACACUUUAAAUUCUGGUGUUUUUAGCCUACAGGUACUUUCUACGAGCAUGAGGCUGGAAGUGAGUAACCAUGAUAAUCAGAGUCAGAGUAUGUGUUGUAUGUGGUGGUGAUGGUGACAGAGUGUCAUAGUGAAAAGCAGACAGCCUCUUUGACUUUUGUGAGUGCUGUCAAUGAGUAGGAGGCUUAAGACCUCACAAAUCACUCCAGCUCCUUUCUGCAGUACCAAAUCAAAAACACUAGGGGGCAAUCUGGAUUGUGUCAGAACUGGAAGCUGAACCUUAAAGUGAAAAAUACUGACACUGGUAUAAUUAUGCAAAAAUAUGCAUUCUAUUUGCAGAAAAAAUGGCAUUCUUUUGCCUAUCACUGUUGCAGAAUUUGAAAUAAAGCUAUUGCUACCUGUUAUAGUCUAUCUAUCUAUCUAUCUAUCUAUCUAUCUAUCUAUCUAUCUGUCUAUCUGCUGUGUCUGCCUAGUUGCCAUGGUUGCAGUGCUGGCCCGGGUCAGGACCUUACGGGAUCCGACUGUAAAUGAGCAUUGUGGGGCUUUGAUGGGAAUCCGUGAUGGGUUUUCAGUUGCUACGAUCCGCCCCUGCUCCAGAGGCGUGAGCAGUUUGGUGAGUUUCACCAUUUGCUCCAGGAGCUGUGCCUGGACGACGGCUGCUUUCAGCGGUACCACCGUCUUUCCCUCGCCUAGACCUGCUGUCCCGUGUCGGUCCCAGAAUCGCCCGCCUAGACACCAACUACAGGCGCUCAAUCCCACCUGCAGAGCGCCUCUCCAUCUGCCUGUGGUUCCUUGCCACCGGGGACUCCUUCAGGACCAUCGCAUUCAGUUUCAGAGUCGGUGUGUC